UUUUUCAUUUUUCCUGUUAUUUAUCUCAAAAAUUAAAGAAAUAAUUAUAAAACAACAAAAUGACAUUGCCAUCGAUAACAUAUAUUGUAUAACAUCCAAAAUAUUCAUACAUUAUCAUCCAAAUAUUCAUAAAUAUCACAUACAUUUAUGUCUAACAAUUCUCCCACCAUAUAAGCACUAGGUUCUUCAUAUCGCCCAAUUUUAUACUAACUACACCACCAGGGACAAGAAUAGCACCAUCUUCUCCAUGGAAUUAAUAUAGUUUGCUUCUUCUUAUUGAAGUAGUCCCAGAGGCAUACCUGUAUAAAUUUCAGAAGAAAAA
rnacentral:lncRNA from 1 species